GUGUAAGUAUAAAUAAUUUUACUUUGAAACUGCGAAUGGCUCAUUAUAUCAGUUAUAGUUUAUUAGAAAUACUUUACUACUUGGAUAACCGUAGUAAUUCUAGGGCUAAUACAUGAAUAAAUCCUCAACUUCGGAAGAGGUGUGUUUAUUAGUAUGAAAACCAUAUAUCUUCGGAUAUAAUAGUGAGUAAUAAUAACCUUUCAUAUCGUAUGUCGUAAGAUAACGAUAGUUCUUUCAAGUUUCUGCCCUAUCAGCUUUCGAUGGUAGUAUAUGGGACUACCAUGGCAGUAACGGGUAACGAAGAAUUUGGGUUCGAUUUCGGAGAGGGAGCCUGAGAGAUGGCUACCACAUCCAAGGAAGGCAGCAGGCGCGUAAAUUACCCAAUCCUGACAUAGGGAGGUAGUGACAAUAAAUCACAAUGCGGAACUAUUUAGUUUUGCAAUUGGAUUGAGAACAAUGUACAAAUGUUAUCGAUAAACAAUUGGAGGGCAAGUCUGGG
rnacentral:rRNA from 1 species